GACGAACGCUGGCGGCGUGCCUAAUACAUGCAAGUCGAACGCAGUGGGGACGGGUGAGUAACACGUGGGUAACCUCCCAUCAGAGGGGAUAACACUUGGAAACAGGUGCUAACCCGAUAUUGAUGGAUUGACCCGCGGGGGAUUAGCUCGUUGGUGAGGUAACGGCUCACCAAGGCCACGAUGCCUAGCUGGUCUGAGAGGAUGAUCAGCCACACUGGGACUGAGACACGGCCCAGACUCCUACGGGAGGCAGCAGUGGGGAAUAUUGCACAAUGGGCGCAAGCCUGAUGCAGCCAUGCCGCGUGUAUGAAGAAGGCCUUCGGGUUGUAAAGUACUUUCAGUGGGGAGGCGUUACCGGCAGAAGAAGCACCGGCUAACUCCGUGCCAGCAGCCGCGGUAAUAC
rnacentral:rRNA from 1 species